GACGAACGCUGGCGGCGUGCUUAACACAUGCAAGUCGUACGGUAAGGCCCUUUCGGGGGUACACGAGUGGCGAACGGGUGAGUAACACGUGCGUAACCUGCCCACAACUUUGGGAUAACGCUAGGAAACUGGUGCUAAUACUGGAUAUGUGCUCCUGCUGCAUGGUGGGGGUUGGAAAGCUCCGGCGGUUGUGGAUGGACUGGCGGCCUAUCAGCUUGUUGGUGGGGUAGUGGCCUACCAAGGCGGCGACGGGUAGCCGGCCUGAGAGGGUGACCGGCGACAUUGGGACUGAGAGACGGCACAGACUCCGACGGGAGGGAGAAGUGGGGAAUAUUGCACAAUGGGCGCAAGCCUGAUGCAGCAACGCCGCGUGCGGGAUGACGGUCUUCGGGUUGUAAACCGAUUUCAGCAGGGACGAAGCUUUUUGUGACGGUACCUGCAGAAGAAGCACCGGCUAACUACGUG
rnacentral:rRNA from 1 species